UGGGGAAUAUUGGACAAUGGGCGCAAGCCUGAUCCAGCCAUGCCGCGUGAGUGAUGAAGGCCUUAGGGUUGUAAAGCUCUUUCGGCGGGGACGAUAAUGACGGUACCCGCAGAAGAAGCCCCGGCUAACUUCGUGCCAGCAGCCGCGGUAAUACGAAGGGGGCUAGCGUUGUUCGGAAUCACUGGGCGUAAAGGGCGCGUAGGCGGCUUUGUAAGUCGGGGGUGAAAGCCUGUGGCUCAACCACAGAAUUGCCUUCGAUACUGCAUGGCUUGAGACCGGAAGAGGUAAGUGGAACUGCGAGUGUAGAGGUGAAAUUCGUAGAUAUUCGCAAGAACACCAGUGGCGAAGGCGGCUUACUGGUCCGGUUCUGACGCUGAGGCGCGAAAGCGUGGGGAGCAAACAGGAUUAGAUACCCUGGUAGUCCACGCCGUAACGAUGAAUGCCAGCCGUUGGGCAGCUUGCUGCUCAGUGGCGCAGCUAACGU
rnacentral:rRNA from 1 species